GUGGGGAAUCUUCCGCAAUGGGCGAAAGCCUGACGGAGCAACGCCGCGUGAGUGAAGAAGGCCUUCGGGUCGUAAAGCUCUGUCUUUAGGGACGAACCGCGUAUGGAGUAAUAUGCCAUACGUCUGACGGUACCUAAGGAGGAAGCUCCGGCUAACUACGUGCCAGCAGCCGCGGUAAUACGUAGGGAGCGAGCGUUGUCCGGAAUUACUGGGCGUAAAGGGCGCGUAGGCGGAGGUUUAAGUAGGGUGUGAAAACUAUGGGCUCAACCGAUAGACUGCAUCCUAAACUGGGCCUCUUGAGGGCAGGAGAGGAAAGUGGAAUUCCUAGUGUAGCGGUGAAAUGCGUAGAUAUUAGGAGGAACACCAGUGGCGAAGGCGACUUUCUGGACUGUACCUGACGCUGAGGCGCGAAAGCGUGGGGAGCGAACAGGAUUAGAAACCCCUGUAGUCC
rnacentral:rRNA from 1 species